rnacentral:lncRNA from 1 species
GUUAACAGAUAUGGAGAUCUCCACCAGGAUUUGGAGAAUAGUUGUCAAUGGCACUGAAGUUCUGGACUAGGUUUGUUACGAAAGUUGGUGGUCCCAUGGUGCCUGGAUUAGAUUCCUGUCUGCCCUAGACUGUGAUAGAAAAGGAGGAUUGUGAGCACUGAUAUCAUAUUGAAGGAAUAAUUCCAGAACCAACAGCUAAGCUCUCCAAUUUCUUCUACCAACCUGAGAACAGAGUUUCAUGGGACAAAUCAUUGCAAGGAUACAAUGUGCUAACAAUGUGGACUUCCCAGGAUACCCCCCAUUGUCACAUUAUAUCCAUAGCUGUAAUCAUCCUUCUGGCUAUGUAUGUUCACCUCUCCGAGAAUGGUUAGAAGAAAAGAGCCUGCACUACUCCACAGACUCAAGUUCCCAUAGCCACCCUCAGCCUUCAUCAGCUCAAAGCUGGUAUACAGAAGUAGUGACCACUGGGACCUCUCAGCUUCCAACCAGCUACAUCAGACUGAAUCUUCGACUGAAAAGAAAGACAAACAUGUCAACAAAAAAGUGAAAGGAGUAGAGGGAGAAGAAGUUGGUGAUGACAACAACAAAGAUAACGACAGACACUUUAAAGCUUGGGAGAGAGCUCUUAAAAAAACAAAAGAAAACAAACUGAAGUCUGAUGCCUUAAUCCUAUGCCUUUAAAUGCCACCAGAUGGCGCGCCCACAUUUUGCUUGUGGAUAGCUUAGGCCCACACCAAACAUUUGGUCUGUUUUUGAAGGAACCACCAGCAGCUUUCAUACUAGUUUUCUAUAACAGUUUCCUAAACAUUACUGCAACUUUUACUAACAAUUUCUUCAAACCCUUGUUACUCAUAAGCCUAAAUAUCAUAUAUUUUGUAAUUUUGGGGGGACAGCCAGCAUUUCUAGAUACCAACUUUUGUAGCAGUUACUUCCAAAUAUCCAAAAACACUUUGUUCGUGAUAAAAUGAACCAUAUAAUGUAUUCUCUGAAUAUUUUGAUAUUAACUGCCAAUUCUAAUCCUUUUAAAGCUUUUAUUUUUUUACAUAACAUUAUUUUACAUUCAUCAUUUCAAUGUUUUUGCAAUAAAAAGUAAGUUUAUAGCUUCA